rnacentral:misc_RNA from 1 species
GAUGAAGAACGUAGCGAAAUGCGAUACUUGGUGUGAAUUGCAGAAUCCCGUGAACCAUCGAGUCUUUGAACGCAAGUUGCGCCCGAAGCCAUUAGGCCGAGGGCACGCCUGCCUGGGCGUCACACGUCGUUGCCCCCCCAUCUACUCCUUCGGGAUUGCGGGGGGCGGAUGAUGGCCUCCCGUGCGCCACGCCGCGCGGUUGGCAUAAAUGCCAAGUCCUCGGCGACGCACGCCACGACAAUCGGUGGUUGCGAAACCUCGGUUGCCCGUCGUGUGCGGUCGUCGCGCAUCGAGGGCUCGAAAAAAUUGCCGGGUUCCGGCUCGGCUUUCAACGCGACCCUAGGUCAGGCGGGGUUACCCGCUGAAUUUAAGCAUAUCAAUAAGCGGAGGA